rnacentral:lncRNA from 10 species
UGGGGAAUGUGGUAGGCAGCACUAGCCAGAGGUACCGCGGAGCCAAGCCCGGAGCCUCGGGGAGCCGCCAGCGAGCGCAGACUGGGAGGGAGCCGGCCGGGCUCCCCGCCACCCCUUCCUCCGCGCGCCAAGACCUGUCAGUUUCACCCAGCCCGGCUUCCCUGGAAAGGCGGGAUCCCUCUGCAGAUUUCCAGGCUCUUGGAAGAGGACCGGCGCGUCUAUUAAACCCGAGUCGCUCCACGGGCUCUCCGCCCAGAGCACAAGCUGCCUUCCCCCGGGAACUGGACCUCGGCAGCGGCCUGCGCAGAGCCGGGCUCCGGGGCCCUGGCCGCUCUCGGGAAGGCCCCGCGGGUUCCCACCAGGCCAGAGGGAGAACCACCAGGAGGCCGCGCGCGCGCACACGCCGGGCGCCCUCCUCGUGCCGAGGUGGAAAGAGCCUGCGACAGGCAGGCCCAGGUUGUCAUUUAGGCUCCGCCACUUUCCGCUCGUGUCCUUGGGCAAGUUACUUGACGCUUCCGAGCCCUAUUUUUUUUCUCAUUUUUAAGAUGGAGAAAAUGCCAUCCACAUCUCAGGGUCAAGGUGAGGAUUAUAAAUAAAAUAACGUGUGUGAAAGUGCCUGGCAUAGCAGCCGGCACGUGGUGUGUGCUCAAUAAAAAUGUUAGUUCAUCCACUCGGGAGGAAGCUGCUUUGCCGGCGCGUCAUGACGGAUCCAGGAGCCGGCCAACCGUGCUCUAUGAUCGUGACCGGGCUAUGGCCAUCGGUGAACGCUGGUCAUAAGCGAUUUGUGUCAUCGUAGUGCCUGACGCCGGGAGACAAGCUUGGGGAAAUGCCUUUUUUCUGAAACAUUUCCUAUGAAAUAGUUUGGCCCCACGCCCACUAACUAAAGAAUGAGGCUGGCAGGGCGUGGUGGCUCAUGCCUGUAGUCCCAACACUUUGGGAGGCCGAGGCGGGCAGAUCAGCUGAGGUCGAGAGUUCUAGAACAGCCUGACCAACAUGGAGAAACCCCGUCUCUACUAAAAAUACAAAAUUAGCCGGGCGUGAUGGCGCAUGCCUGUAAUCCCAACUACUUACUCUUGAGGCUGAGGCUGACGCAGGAGAAUCGCUUGAACCCGGGAGGCGGAGGUUGCCGUGAACCAAGAUUGUGCCAUUGCACUCCAGCAUGGGCAACAAGAGUGAAACUCCGUCUCAAAAAUUAAUUAAUUAAUUUAAUAAAAAUAAAAAGAAGGAC